UACGGGGGGGGCAAGCGUUGUUCGGAAUUACUGGGGUCGUAAAGGGCGCGUAGGCGGUCCGCUAAGUUAAGAUGUGAAAACUCUGGGCUCAACCCAGAGCCUGCAUCUAAUACUGACGGGCUAGAGUUCUGGAGGGGGUAGCGGAAUUCUGGUGUAGCGGUGAAAGUGCGUAGAUAUCAGGAGGAACACCGGUGGCGAAGGCGGCUACCUGGACAGAAACUGACGCUGAGGCGCGAAAGCUAGGGGAGCAAACAGG
rnacentral:rRNA from 1 species